AGAGCGAACGCUGGCGGCAGGCCUAACACAUGCAAGUCGAGCGGCCGUAGCAAUACGGCAGCGGCAGACGGGAGAGUAACACGUGGGAACGCGCCCUUCGGUUCGGAAUAACUCAGGGAAACUUGGGCUAAUACCGGAUACGCCCUUACGGGGAAAGAUUUAUUGCCGAAGGAACGGCCCGCGUCCGAUUAGCUUGUUGGUGAGGUAACGGCUCACCAAGGCGACGAUCGGUAGCUGGUCUGAGAGGAUGACCAGCCUCACUGGGACUGAGACACGGCCCAGACUCCUACGGGAGGCAGCAGUGGGGAAUAUUGGACAAUGGGCGCAAGCCUGAUCCAGCCAUGCCGCGUGGGUGAUGAAGGCCCUAGGGUUGUAAAGCCCUUUCGGCGGGGAAGAUAAUGACGGUACCCGCAGAAGAAGCCCGGCUAACUUCGCGCCAGCAGCCGC
rnacentral:rRNA from 1 species